rnacentral:rRNA from 1 species
AGCAAUAUGUCAGCGGCAGACGGGUGAGUAACGCGUGGGAAUCUACCCAACCCUAAGGAAUAACGCAUGGAAACGUGUGCUAAUACCAUAUACGCCCCCCGUUAAAAUUCCAGGAAGAAUAAAAUUCCUUGGCAUCUUAUGGGGGGGAAAGAUUUAUCGGGGAUGGAUGAGCCCGCGUUGGAUUAGCUAGUUGGUGGGGUAAAGGCCUACCAAGGCGACGAUCCAUAGCUGGUCUGAGAGGAUGAUCAGCCACAUUGGGACUGAGACACGGCCCAAACUCCUACGGGAGGCAGCAGUGGGGAAUAUUGGACAAUGGGCGCAAGCCUGAUCCAGCCAUGCCGCGUGAGUGACGAAGGCCCUAGGGUUGUAAAGCUCUUUCACCGGAGAAGAUAAUGACGGUAUCCGGAGAAGAAGCCCCGGCUAACUUCGUGCCAGCCGCCGCAGUAA